UACGGAGGGUGCAAGCGUUAUCCGGAUUCACUGGGUUUAAAGGGUGCGUAGGUGGGUCUGUAAGUCCGUGGUGAAAUCUCCGAGCUUAACUUGGAAACUGCCAUGGAUACUAUAGGUCUUGAAUACUGUGGAGGUCAGCGGAAUAUGUCAUGUAGCGGUGAAAUGCUUAGAUAUGACAUAGAACACCAAUUGCGAAGGCAGCUGGCUACACAAAUAUUGACACUGAUGCACGAAAGCGUGGGGAUCAAACAGG
rnacentral:rRNA from 1 species